rnacentral:lncRNA from 1 species
AGCUUUGUUAGCAGAGGGACGCUAGACGCAAUGACACCCAAGAAGCAAUGAGCACGCCUAGUGUCCUGAUCUUUGUUUCUAAACACUCACAGGAAUCCAACCUCCUUGAAGAAAUGGCUAAUUUCAAGUCUGGGGAAGGAAAAGAACACAUUGUAGGUCCUUCUGGUUAUGCCAUGUGGGAUGCCGCCUCAGCGUAGCUGGACGAGCAGUGCCGUGUCCACGCCCAGGAUCUGAACCGGUGAAACCCUGGGCCGCCAAGGGGGAGCACAAGAACAUAACCACUCCACGACGGAGCCGAUCCCAGGAACUUCUCUUUAAAGCACAGGCAUUUAUGAUGCUCACAUUAAGUUUUAGGCUAAAUAAAAUAUUUGUUCUCUGCAAA